AGAGAGAGACAUGCGCGCAUAUCAAUAAGCGGAGGAAAAGAAACUAACAAGGAUUCCCCUAGUAACGGCGAGUGAAGCGGGAAGAGCUCAAAUCUGAAAUCUUAAAGGGUUUCCCUUUACGAAUUGUAGUUUAAAGAAGUGUUUUCUGUUGAGGUUUUGGUAAAAGUUCUUUGGAAUAGGACAUCAUAGAGGGUGAGAAUCCCGUAUUUGACCUUUACUUUCAACUUUGUGAUACACUUUCAAAGAGUCGGAUUGUUUGGGAAUGCAGUCCAAAAUGGGUGGUAAAUUUCAUCUAAAGCUAAAUAUUGGCGAGAGACCGAUAGCGAACAAGUACCGUGAGGGAAAGAUGAAAAGAACUUUGAAAAGAGAGUUAAACAGUACGUGAAAUUGUCAAAAGGGAAGCGUUUGACACCAGUGUUGUUUUUCUGAAAAUCAAUUAAAGAACUGUUUAUGCUAAGUUGUUUAGACUUUAUCAGCUAACUGUUUAGUUUUGAGCUUUUCUUUAAUGCACUUUUCAGUUAACAAGUCAACAUCAAUUUCUUUUGCUGUAAAAAAGCUUGAGGAAGGUGGCUUGAGAUUCGUCUUAAGUGUUUAUAGCCUCUUGCCUAUGCAGUCGGAGAGAUUGAGGUCUGCAGCGUAGAUCCUUCGGGGCUAAAUGCAUUUGUGCUAAGUUAUAGCAUUUUAUAGACAACUUGUUGACUAUGAUUUGUCUUGUAGCUUACUCGCUUAUGUUAUUUUACCUACGCUUAGGAUGUUGACGCAUGAGAUAUACGC
rnacentral:rRNA from 1 species